rnacentral:lncRNA from 1 species
CCCAAGUUAAAACAUGUGAUGAAAUUCAGCUUUUACAAUCUAACCCCGAGCUACUUGAAACUAUUAAAGCCUCUCCGGUAUCUGACACAAGUCAGAAUUUCCACUGUUCCAGCUGAGCUUUUAUGAGGAGCAGACUUGAGAGAAACUGCCAAGUCCACCCCCACCCAGAGUCACAAGGUCCCUGUUGUGCCCUCCGUCUGCAGAUUUUCUGGAAUAUGCAGGGCACACGGCCAGCUGGACACCGGCUUCCCCCACUCGCUGCUGCUGAGAAGAGAGCAAUGGACUCCGAGUACCUUCCAGCCGGAAGUCGUCCUCCUCUUCCUCACUGAGCGUGUCUCUCAACACGUCGCCCACGAGCUCCUAGAAGACAAAGCAGAGGCAUUGAGCAGGGGUUAGGGGGAGUCCAGUGCUGAGACAUUAAAAGUGGCGCCUUGAAGACCCUGGGCUGAUUCUUCUGAUGGGAAUUCAGGUCAACUGAGGCAGAUCCUAUCGCACCUGAAAAGUUAAGCACCAAGGUGGGUCCCUCCUGCCCUUAACAUAAACGCACACGUAUCAGCACAACAUUCAGACCCCUGCAGGCUAUGGCUCCACCUGGUCUUCCAUCAUGCCUCCCAUAUUUCAC